rnacentral:rRNA from 1 species
GAGUUUGAUCAUGGCUCAGAACGAACGCUGGCGGCGUGGAUUAGGCAUGCAAGUCGAACGCGAAAGAGGGGGUAACUCCUCGAGUAGAGUGGCGAACGGGUGAGUAACGCGUGGAGAACCUGCCUUCAACAGGGGGAUAACACUCCCAACGGGGUGCUAAUACCGCAUGAGACCACGGGUUCGCAUGGACCUGAGGUCAAAGGUGGCCUCUGCUUGCAAGCUACCGGUUGAAGAUGGCUUCGCGUCCCAUUAGCCAGUUGGCGGUGUAACGGACCACCAAGGCGACGAUGGGUAGCUGGUCUGAGAGGAUGGUCAGCCACACUGGGACUGAGAUACGGCCCAGACUCCUACGGGAGGCAGCAGUCGAGAGGCUUUGGCAAUGGGGGAAACCCUGACCAAGCGACGCCGCGUGGAGGAUGAAGGCCCUUGGGUCGUAAACUCCUUUUGUCGGGGAAGAAACACGACCAGGUGAACAAUCUGGUCGCUUGACGGUACCCGGCGAAUAAGCUCCGGCUAACUCCGUGCCAGCAGCCGCGGUAAUACGGGGGGAGCAAGCGUUGUUCGGAAUCACUGGGCGUAAAGGGCGUGUAGGCGGUCAAGUAAGUGGAAUGUGAAAUCCCUCGGCUUACCCGAGGACCUGCAUCCCAAACUGCUUGGCUUGAGUAUGGGAGAGGAUGAGGGAAUUCCUGGUGUAGCG